GGGUUGGGCUCAGGGGAGGAUUGCUUUGGUCCUCUCAGCAGUAGCAGUGGAAGGACAGAGGCUGUCAAAUUUGGAAGCGAUAGAUUCGCACAAUGGCUGAAUUGCAGCUGAAACAGUUAAGUAGCAGACGCAUUUGGUGCAGAGAGAUGUAUCGGUGCAGCUGCAGUAUGGUGGACUUGAUUUUGUGCACACACAGUUAUCGCACCAGCUGCUGUCCCCAAUCUUAUUAUUGCUUCCACCUUGGAAUUUCAACG